rnacentral:rRNA from 1 species
GACGUAGGGCGCGAGCGUGUCCGGAUUUAUUGGGCGUAAAGAGCUCGUAGGCGGCUUGUCGCGUCGACUGUGAAAACCCGCGGCUCAACCGUGUGGCUUGCAGUUGAUACGGGCAGGCUAGAGUUCGGUAGGGGAGACUGGAAUUCCUGGUGUAGCGGUGAAAUGCGCAGAUAUCAGGAGGAACACCGAUGGCGAAGGCAGGUCUCUGGGCCACUACUGACGCUGAGAAGCGGAAAGCAU